rnacentral:misc_RNA from 1 species
GAAAAUGUUGAGAGGAACGAGAUUGAGUCGAAACAGCUGAAGGAAGAAGCUUAUGAUCCGCAUGAUGCUGCACCUUAUUUUCUUCCGGUGAGUAAAGACUCUUCUCAGUCUUCUUUAGAUGCAAGCCAAUCUGGUUGUUUUGUGUAGACUCCUGCAAAUUUUCACCAUUAGUGAUUAGCCAGUCUGGGUAAGAUUGAUAGCAGAAGUUUGAUUGUUUGUCAAGAUUAGCUGUCGGUUGAUCAGUUUU